AUUGAACGCUGGCGGCAGGCCUAACACAUGCAAGUCGAGCGGUAGAGAGGUGCUUGCAUCUCUUGAGAGCGGCGGACGGGUGAGUAAUGCCUAGGAAUCUGCCUAGUGGUGGGGGAUAACGUUCGGAAACGGACGCUAAUACCGCAUACGUCCUACGGGAGAAAGCGGGGGAUCUUCGGACCUCGCGCCAUUAGAUGAGCCUAGGUCGGAUUAGCUAGUUGGUGAGGUAAUGGCUCACCAAGGCGACGAUCCGUAACUGGUCUGAGAGGAUGAUCAGUCACACUGGAACUGAGACACGGUCCAGACUCCUACGGGAGGCAGCAGUGGGGAAUAUUGGACAAUGGGCGAAAGCCUGAUCCAGCCAUGCCGCGUGUGUGAAGAAGGUCUUCGGAUUGUAAAGCACUUUAAGUUGGGAGGAAGGGUAGUAACCUAAUACGUUGCUACUUUGACGUUACCGACAGAAUAAGACACCGGCUAACUUCGUGCCAGCA
rnacentral:rRNA from 1 species